GGAAGGUACAGUAUGGCCAAUGGAAGGUACAGUAUGGAAGGUACAGUAUGACCAAUGGAAGGUACAGUAUGGCCAAUGGAAGGUACAGUAUGACCAAUGGAAGGUACAGUAUGACCAAUGGAAGGUACAGUAUGACCAAUGGAAGGUACAGUAUGGCCAAUGGAAGGUACAGUAUGGCCAAUGGAAGGUACAGUAUGGCCAAUGGAAGGUACAGUAUGGCCAAUGGAAGGUACAGUAUGGCCAAUGGAAGGUACAGUAUGGCCAAUGGAAGGUACAGUAUGACCAAUGGAAGGUACAGUAUGGCCAAUGGAAGGUACAGUAUGGCCAAUGGAAGGUACAGUAUGGCCAAUGGAAG